AGCCUGAUGCAGCCAUGCCGCGUGUAUGAAGAAGGCCUUCGGGUUGUAAAGUACUUUCAGCAGUGAGGAAGGCGGAGUCGUUAAUAGCGGCCUCGUUUGACGUUAGCUGCAGAAGAAGCACCGGCUAACUCCGUGCCAGCAGCCGCGGUAAUACGGAGGGUGCGAGCGUUAAUCGGAAUUACUGGGCGUAAAGCGCAUGCAGGUGGUUUGUUAAGUCAGAUGUGAAAGCCCGGGGCUCAACCUCGGAAUUGCAUUUGAAACUGGCAGACUAGAGUACUGUAGAGGGGGGUAGAAUUUCAGGUGUAGCGGUGAAAUGCGUAGAGAUCUGAAGGAAUACCGGUGGCGAAGGCGGCCCCCUGGACAGAUACUGACACUCAGAUGCGAAAGCGUGGGGAGCAAACAGGAUUAGAUACCCUGGUAGUCCACGCCGUAAACGAUGUCUACUUGGAGGUUGUUGGCCUUGAGCCGUGGCUUUCGGAGCUAACGCGUUAAGUAGACCGCCUGGG
rnacentral:rRNA from 1 species